rnacentral:rRNA from 1 species
GACAGAGGUGCCAAGCGUUAGGCGGAAUCACUGGGCUUAAAGCGUGUGUAGGCGGAAUGGUAAGUACCUUGUGAAAUCCCACGGCUCAACCGUGGAACUGCUUGGUAUACCGCUUUUCUUGAGCCACUUAGGGGCAACCGGAACAAACGGUGGAGCGGUGAAAUGCGUAGAUAUCGUUUGGAACGCCAAUGGUGAAAACAGGUUGCUGGGAGUGUGCUGACGCUGAGACACGAAAGCCAGGGGAGCAAACGGG